GCUAGGCCCAGUGGCCCAGGCCUAUAGUCCAGCUAUGUGGAGGCUGAGGCAGGAGAAUCAUUUGAGUCCAGGGGUUCAAGGCCAGUCUGGCCAACACAGUGAGCUGCCAUCUCAA
rnacentral:sRNA from 1 species